rnacentral:rRNA from 1 species
GAUGAACGCUGGCGGCGUGCCUAAUACAUGCAAGUCGAGCGAACGGACGAGAAGCUUGCUUCUCUGAUGUUAGCGGCGGAAGGGAGAGUAACACGUGGAUAACCUACCUAUAAGACUGGGAUAACCUCGGGAAACCGGAGCUAAUACCGGAUAAUCUUUUGAACCGCAUGGUUCAAAAGUGAAAGACGGUCUUGCUGUAACUUCUCGAUGGAUCCGCGCUGCAUUAGCUAGUUGGUAAGGUAACUGCCUACCACGGCAACGAUGCAUAGCCGAACUGCUGGGGGGAUCGGCCACACUGGAACUGGGACACGGUCCAGACGCCUACGGGAGGGAGCAGUAGGGAAUCGUCCGCAAUGGGCGAAAACCUUACGGAGCAACGCCGCGUGAGUGAUGGAGGUCUUCGGAUCGUAAAACCCUGUUAUUAGGUAAGAACAUAUGUGGAAGGAACUGUGCACAUCGUGACGGUACCUAAUCAGAAAGCCACGGCUAACUACGUG